GAAAAAGUCCGUUAGCAUUUCUACCGUUUUCAGACGACGUAUCGUCAGAAGGGAGUGUCCAAGAUUUCAAUAUGUCUGAAGGGAGCUGCUGACAGAGAUGUAGGAAGCGCUGAAAAGAUUCUUCAGUGCUGAUGGCCUGCUGCAUCCAGCAGAGUC